UCGGCUGUGGAGAGAGCGGUUCUACUGUCAGAGCGGCGACGGGGCCCGGGCUGCUGCCUUCGCCCAACAACCCCGCUGCACAUGGAAUCCGCUUCCCCACCUCCAUCACCGGCGAUGUUACCUCAGCCAUUGUGGUUACACCCGCAUCGAGACCAAAAUAAUUGCAAGAAAGAACAGGAAUGUCGAACGAUCGAAAGGGUCAACGCUUGCAGGAUGAACCCUGCGCACUCACUGCUCUCCCGUCGCCAUGAUGACAACGCUCGCUCUGUCGGAGAGAGGCCGCCGCCGCCACGCUCGAGCGGGGGAGAAGACAUCCUGUAACAGGACAGAGACUGAUGCCUCACCACCUGCAAGGAAAGGAUGCUUCCCUGGCAGGAAAAAACAGGGACCGGUCUAGCAAAGAAGAGGAGCCAUCCAUGUCCUGCCACCCCAGUGGAUCCAUUCUCUCAGGAGGAGAGUUCCUUGAUCCCUCCUGCUAUUAUCAUAGAGGACAAUUGGAGGAACCAUGAUUUGCAUUGCCUGCUGGACCACUCAGAAGCAUGGAUGCAAUAUAUCAUUGGACACUGACCCAGUGAAGUUCAUACCCCAGCAUCUCCACACAUGGAGAAGGGAGAAACACUCCAGGCCACUUGCAGUCAGAGGACUGUCAUUGAUCAGGCACCUGUUAAACCCCUAGCAGAUGACCUGAUGUUGUCAGCUAUGAGGGAUGUUGUGCAGAUGUACAGGAGCAGCAGCAGGUAGGCAUUUAGAAGUCACAGGCCCUCAUUGCUGAGAAGUUGGAAGAAAGCAACCACACAGUGUAAAUUCACAGCCUGUUAUCUCCCAGACUGCAGCUAGUCCAUUGAUUCAGCCUGUUAUCCUGCAGAUUGUGUAGUCAGCCCCUAUAAAUUGGCUCUCUCUCUCUGCCUGGACAGUUUGAUAGCUGCCAUGGAGGACAAGCACAGGAGCCUUGGAGUUGUUCAGAGCCACCAAUUCCUAGAUCAAUGUGUGUCUAACUCAGCCAGGUCCAAACAUCCCUGAGGCCACUUCACCAAACACCCAGAGCCAACAGGCUUCAGCUAGCAAGGGAAACGUACAAAUGUCUUGUAUGGGCAAUGCCUGCCCAACCUGCAUAUAAUUUAUUGAUGAUUAUACCAAAGCAAAUAGCUUGUUUACCACACUAUUAUGUUAAUGGUUUAUUUACAAAAUGCUUUCCUGUUUAAAUUUUUUUUUCCCCACAACCAAUGGUAUGGAAAUAGUUUUAACAUUACAUAACAUCUUGCAUUUCAGCUUUCCUGAUAUUGAAACUGUCUCUGUUUCAGCUGAAGAUGACGUGUAGUUCCUUGUGGCAUCAAUCCAUAGCCAUUGACUUCAUGGAAUAUUUGAAAAGGUCUGUGAUGACCAACAAAUACAUCAUGUAGAUGCUGGGAUAGCAGCACACGUACAUAGCAUAUGCUCAUUGCAACAAGCUGGGUGUUACAUCCCUCCCCAUCACCCACUGUUCAGUUGUGCACAGGGAUAUGUAUCACAAGAAGUUCCCCAACAGUGAUAGUAAUGGAGUGAUUCAACAGAGAUAGUCAGUGCCUACCACUAGUCAUCCUGCAGCAAUGUGUAUGCCUGUAUGACUAACAAAUCAUCUGAGAACAAUAUUACUCCUGCAAUAGUUAAGUGAAUAAUUGGAGAUGCAGCCCCAUCCCUCACAAUUCACCUCACUUACACUCUUCUUUCUAGCCCUUUUCUUCCACUAUCCACAAGUUUCAUCAAUGGCAAAACACAGUGAGUAGUCCUCUGAGGCUUUCAGUCUCAGCAUUAACAUGCCACAGAGACCCCUAAUAUGACCCUGUCCUCCUCAGGUGACCAUUCCAUUGAUCCAGUCAGCCUCAUAGUGCCCCAGACCAUCCCCUUGCAGCGGAUAUGUGACUAAAACUGCACACUUUCUAAGUACCAUCCAUAUCACCCCUCCCCCUGACCCUGACCCUGACCCUUACUCCCUUAAUUUCUGCUAAUAGAGGUGACAGAUAAUCAUGGCUCAGCCCCUUGGUUGACUUCUCCUUCUGGCACUAGCCUAGGCUAGCCCACUAUGCUCAGACCCUUGGCUGACAGAUGCAUGUCCCUGACCAUGACAGUACCACCCCACUCCCUCUAUAAAGACUGGCCCCUAUAAUGACAGCAACUGGCCGACUGAAGUAAGGCAAGAUGUACAUGCCCUUAACUAAGAACUGCUGCACAGUAUAGCCACUUGCCUGGUUGUCUGUAUGCUAAACGUUAAUGCAAGGCAAGCUAUACAUGCAGAGGGCCUGAAGUACACUAAGAGAUCAAGAGUGUACUCCUGGUAGACAGCCAGGUUAAAAACCAUGGAAUGUGUUCUUUCCCUGUGCAAUACCUGUAUCCCACAUAGCCAUAUAGUACCGUCCUAGACCACUGUGCCCUUGCAGCACUUGGUGCCAGUGCACUGGGGGCAUGACAGGAUUCUCGCAAUACCUCCCUGAUAGUGGAGCGGCAAUAUCCAGAGGUGGAAGAGUAGGCAUUGGCUGUGGCGGUGCAAUGGGCCCUGUUCUCCAGCUUGCUUGUGGCAAAUGUGGAUCUCCUGGAACAAGCAGAAGGUGGACCUGCCCAAAAAUCUCUCCGGUUGCCAUAUCAUGUUUUCAUGAUAGCUCGUUUGCAUGGCAAGUUCGGCAAAAUGAGGAGUUGGGCUGUCAACGGGCAAUGAUGAUUAAUUGGGAAUUGCCACCACCUAGCGAGAAUCUCACCAAAUCACUUGAGAAAAGCAGACAAGGUGUGGUGAUAUGAUCUUGAACAUCAACAUCAUCUUCACCAAACAUCUCACGAGUGCAUGCCGCACAGAGCCAGAAAAAGCUUCCACCCAUCAAAAUUUACAUUUUGCUGUGUGACUUUUUCCCUUUUCCAUGGGAUACACUUAUUGUCACCCCAGAGAAUGAGCUGAACUAAUGAAAAAUGUGUGUCACUUUAGGCCAUUAGCCUCUUAAUAUAAAAAAAGAGAAAAUUUGUACAUUUUGAAUACGACACAACUGGUUUUUUUAAACAUUAUCAAGAGAGUAGCGGGCAGUAAUUAUCACAUUGCACAAGAGGCUAAUUUUACAUCUGCAGAAUGUCAAAUUUUUGUAAAACUUCAUAUUUUCAAAUAUGCAAAGUCUUUGCAAUAUUUAAGAUUUUAACCCUACCUUAAAUCAAUAAUUUCACCUCCUAAACUUGGAUCAAAAUAAAACCAGUGCAUUUAUUUCUUCGUGCUAACAGAUUGCCUCAAUUUGAUUAAGGCCAAAGAUCUGGAAAUCCUGGUACGAGAUUAAAAACUGACAUUGAAAAUAGGGAAAGCAGACAACUACGUCUUUGUGAAUGCUUCACAAUAGCUUAUAAAAUCUAUAUAUAGUAUUUGAAAGCUUUAUUUUCCAAUUCACUUUCUGAAUCCAGAUUCCACAGCACUUUUAAAUAUUGAAGCAAAGCAAUCUCAGCCUUUUCUUAAACCCAUUUCUCUUCCUGCACAUCACAGUUUAAUUACAUUUUUUCAGCAUGAGUUCGAAGGAAAAAUGAAGCACAACACUAUGGUUAAUGCCAGUUAAGACCAAGGCCAACAGAUGUUAGGAGUGCACUAUUGAAUAUUAUAGUGAACAACUAUUUGCAGUUUCCAUUUAUUCUGACCCCUUAUCCAGCACUCCCAACAAAAUGCUGAGUGUGAAUGAUGUCAAGUAGAAUUGCUGAAAACAACACACCUCUCCAUGAGGAGCUCAAUGCAGUCUCUGCUUGUUUUGAAUAGGUCAGUGAAAUGAUGUCAUCUGCCCCUAUAAGCAUGGGUGCACCUGUACUGAAUCACCUCCACAGAUAUCAGAUUGGCCUUCUUGAAAAUGAACCCUGAAAAUGAUGGGCCUGGAUGGCUUCCUGAGCUGUGCAUUUAGAUCCUGUGUGUAGCAGCUGGUAGGGGUAGUCGCAGGUGUCUUUAACCUCUCCUUAGUACAAUCUGAGGUUCCCACCUGCUUCAGUAAGACCACUGUCAGACCUGUACCAAAGAAAAAAAUCACACAGUAUGCCUCAGUGACCUCUACUCAAUGGGUUUGGCAUUUAUCAUUAUGAAUUGCUUUGAGAGGUUAGUCAUGGUUCACAUCAGUUUCCCAAGCUGCCUUGAUCCUCUACAUUUUACGUUCUGUCACAGCAGGUCCACAGCCUCUGCCAUCUCCCUGAUCCUACACCCAUCCCUGGAACAUCUGGAUAACAAGGACAUGUCAUAUUCCUACUUAUUGAUUAUAGCUCCACCUUCAACACAAUUCCAACCAAACUCACCUCCAAACUCAGACCUAGGACUCUGGUCUCCCCUUUGCAACUGGAUCCUCAAGUUUCUGACCCACAGACCGCAAUUAGGAUCUGCAGCAAAACCUCCACCACAGUAAACCUCAACAAUAGUGAUCUGCGAGACUACGUACUGAGCCUCCUACUAUACUCCUUGUACACAACUGCGGGGCCAAACUUUGCUUUAACCCCCUUCUCCAAGUUUGUUGACACUGCCAUAGUGGGUAGCAACUUAAUGAUGAAACAAUACAGGAAAGAGAUAGAAAGCUUAGUGACAAGACACAAAGACAACAAUCUCUCCCUCAAUGUCAGCAAAAUGAAGUAGCUGGUCGUCAACUUCAGGAAACAAAGUGGAGGACACGCUGUCUGGAUGGCCGUGAGGUGGAGAUGGUCAAGAAAUUUAAUUGCCCUGCAGCGAUGAUCAACAAUCUGUCCUGGUCCAUCUAUCUCAACACUACACUUAGGAAAGCACACCAAUGCCUGUACUUUAUUAGAAGUCAAAAGAAAUUCAGCAAAUUCACAAUGACUCUUACCAAUUUUUUAUACAUGCACUGUUAAAAAGCAUCUUAUGCAGAUGCGUUAAAGCUUGGUAUGACAACUGCUCUUCCCAAAGCUGCAAGAAAUUAGAGUCACGGAUGCAGACAAGUCCAUCACGUGAACCAGAUGCAAUUCAUUGACGCCAUCUGUGCUUCCCACUGCCUCAGGAAAGUAGCCAACAUAAUUAAAGACCCCUCCCAGCAUGGUCAUACUUUCUUCCACCCUUGUCUGUUGGGUUGAAAAUGCAAAAGUUUGAAAACGUACCAGAUUCAAGAACAGCUUCUUGCUUGUUGUUAUUAUCAGCAGUUUAAACUGACUUCUCACAUUAUUGAAUUUGACCUUUCUGCACCUUUUCUGACUGCAAAGUUGAAACAGAGAUGACAAAUAAAUCUGCUCAAAGCCGAUAGAGUUUGAGGGGCCUGAUGGCUUUUUUUUGAAGUUGAAACAAUAGAGCUGCUUGAAUGGGUGAGUCAAUUUCACAGAACCAGGAAUUUUAGUUUUAGUUGCUAAUAUAGCUAAUAUUUUGCUGAGCAUUUUAAUACAGUUACAGUUAAACAGAUUCUUUUUGUCUGUAUUUUAACAGUAGUGUAAAAGUAAAAUGUUUUGCAUAAUGGUGAGUAGUUUGGUCAAUUGAAUUACAUCUGGAAUGCAAUGACUUACGCUUACCUUUAAAAUUAAUAAAUGUUGGGGUCUAGCCUAUCAUCUUAAAAUAUUGAGGGGGGCUUUGGUCUGGUCCAUAACAAGUUUCCCAUCACAUCACAAUGAGUAAUUUCUUAGUCCUCAUUAGAGGAGUUUUUCAGCCCAUCAUAUCAGAGUCAAUUAUUAAAGGUUGGUGUGCAUACAGUUGUGAGUAAGAAAGUUUUACUUUUGUACAAAUUUAAUUUAGUUUGUAGUUGCAACAAACCAAAAACUGCAGUUCAAAUUUUGCAGUUGCCAGCUUUAAGCAGAUUUUUCCAAGGUUAGGCAAGAUUUAGGGAGCAUAGAAUGGGGAAGGAAACUGCAGGGGAUGGGCACAUUAGAAAUGUGGAGCUUAUUCAAGGAAAAGCUCCUGUGUGUCCUAGAUAAGUAUGUACCUGUCAGGCAGGGAGGAAGCUGUAGAGUG